UACGUAGGCAGCAAGCGUUGUUCGGAGUUACUGGGCGUAAAGGGUGCGUAGGCGGUUGUUUAAGUUUGGUGUGAAAUCUCCCGGCUCAACUGGGAGGGUGCGCCGAAUACUGAAUGACUAGAGUGCGGGAGAGGAGAGUGGAAUUCCUGGUGUAGCGGUGAAAUGCGUAGAUAUCAGGAGGAACACCUGUGGUGUAGACGCUUUCUGGACCAUAGCUGACGCUGAGACACGAAAGCGUGGGUAGCAAACAGG
rnacentral:rRNA from 1 species